rnacentral:rRNA from 1 species
AGAGUUUGAUCCUGGCUCAGGACGAACGCUGGCGGCGCGCCUAACACAUGCAAGUCGAACGGACUUAACCUUUAGUUUACUAAUGGAGCGGUUAGUGGCGGACUGGUGAGUAACGCGUAAGCAAUCUGCCUAUCAGAGGGGAAUAACAGUGAGAAAUCACUGCUAAUACCGCAUAAGCUGUGAGUAUCGCAUGAUACAAAUAGAAAAGGAGCAAUCCGCUGAUAGAUGAGCUUGCGUCUGAUUAGUUAGUUGGUGAGGUAACGGCUCACCAAGACGAUGAUCAGUAGCCGG